AAUCAGCGAGAGAGAGAGAACCAAGGACGCUAGAAGUCACAGGCAUCACCUCACACGACAGCUUUGUUUUAUAUCAAGACUCAACAAUGAAAAGAAGAAGUGUGUUUUUGUAAGGAGAAGUAAGCCAGCAUUAUGGAAACAAUGGAUAUAGUUUGUUUAUCCGGGGUAGCAGCUGAGUUUUGCGUGUGUGUUUGUUUAACGCUGGAUUUGAUUGAAAAGUCUCAACCGGGUCAUGAGUUGCAUGCGUUUUGACUGGCGACUGUUACAUCAUCAAAAAGCAACAUUCUUCUGAAUGGCGUCGGGUGUGAAUCUGCAGCUGUUUGGCGGCUGGAGCGAGCGAGAGAGAGAAAGACAGAAAUAUCUGAGGGUGUGUAGGCCAAGGUCUUACCACUGGCAUGCAGCAGGAAACCGGCCUCUCUCCAGCAGGAGGAUACGGUUGCUUUACAGAGGAACAGAGAUGGUUGUGCUUCCUCAAAUGAUUGUCAAUCACUUCCCAUUCAUGCACAGUUAACACAGAAAUGAAGUAACAUUCAGCACAUGCUUUUUAUUUCACAUCUGAAGCUGGGUUUGCACAGGACAAUAGACGAACAAGCCUUGGCACUGCAUAACAUUAAAUCAAAAUAACUUUAACCGAGUUCUGACAUCUUACAAGUAUUUCAAGAAAGUGAGUCAUUAUCGCAAAAUAAACCCAGACAGGGUGGUGAGGAGUCUGUAUCUCCCUCAAGAGGUUUAUUUUGUGAUAAUGACAGGCUGACUUAUAGUGUAUCACCCACCUUUCACUCCAUUAAAUAAACACAUGGGCAUGAAA